GCGGCGGCGGCGGCGGCGGCGGUACUGAUGAUGCCACUUGCCUGGCAUGAAGAGGAGGUGGUGGAGGUGGAGGAGGUGCAGAUUUAGAUGCUGAAUUUACCUUCAAAAGUGGCAUUGGAGGAGGAGGUGGCGGUGGAGGGGUUACAGGAGAUCGAGCUCUAAUAGGUGCAGGAGAAGGGGGAGGUGGAGGUAUAGGUGUGGCUGGAGUUGUGGCCCUCAAAUUUUCCACCAAAGAUGGAGAUGCUUCCAGAUGUAUGCCACUCACUUUUGUAGGUGGUGUUGGAGGAGGUCGAGGGGCAGGAGGGAUGGCUCUAAUAGAUGGAGGAGGGGGAGGGGG
rnacentral:lncRNA from 1 species